rnacentral:rRNA from 1 species
AUCGUAACUCCUACGGGAGGCAGCAGUGGGGAAUAUUGCACAAUGGGCGCAAGCCUGAUGCAGCCAUGCCGCGUGUGUGAAGAAGGCCUUCGGGUUGUAAAGCACUUUCAGCGGGGAGGAAGGCGGUGAGGUUAAUAACCUCACCGAUUGACGUUACCCGCAGAAGAAGCACCGGCUAACUCCGUGCCAGCAGCCGUGGUAAUACGGAGGGUGCAAGCGUUAAUCGGAAUUACUGGGCGUAAAGCGCACGCACGCGGUCUGUCAAGUCGGAUGUGAAAUCCCCGGGCUCAACCUGGGAACUGCAUUCGAAACUGGCAGGCUAGAGUCUUGUAGAGGGGGGUAGAAUUCCAGGUGUAGCGGUGAAAUGCGUAGAGAUCUGGAGGAAUACCGGUGGCGAAGGCGGCCCCCUGGACAAAGACUGACGCUCAGGUGCGAAAGCGUGGGGAGCUAACAGGAUUAGAAACCCGUGUAGUCCUAGAGC